GGGAGUCAGACCAGAGCGUUUUGUGCAGCAGCACAUAAGCGGAGGAAGGAUUCGACGAAGGAUUCAUCAGCAACGCAAAGCAAGCGUAGUGGUGGACAAGCCAAGGAGAUUUGUCCCCUCAUUUGAAAUGAAGAGAGCAGUCCACUGUGCAGGCAACCCUGCAGGGAAUGGAUGCAAUCCUAGAACCAGAGAGGUAGCUCCAGAAUAAACAGGCUGAUGGAUGCAGGCAAAUGAGGGUUCAAUGGUCAAGGUGAUAUGGCUACAUUUCUCUAUUAAUUUUCUUCAGUCUUGCUCCUGCAAUCACCAACAAGUGUUCUUGACAUUUAUCCUGCAGUUCCUGGCAGCAGCCACUUCCUCAACAAAGGACUUCAUAUUUGUUUUUCCUUCCCAAAAUUUAAGGGAAAAUGUAUUGUUCAGCACAGUAUUAUUACAUCUCUAUAUACAAUCAUUUUAACUUCUGUUUCAUAGAUAGCAGAGUUAAUUCUAUUUCCCCUUUCCCUGUAUAAGUUAUAUGUCAAGUGCAUAGCUGGGGAAAGUCAUUAGAAGCAUUUCCAAGUUCUGUAUUUACCAAGAGAUUGUAUUUGUCUAUGUGAACCAUUCCUCAACAUUGAAAAGAAUGAGUCAACCUCUACUUGUAUAGAAUCACAUGUGCGCUUAUACUGGAGCCCGUAUACUGAGAUGACUCCAUUAAGGUGAACUGAACUGUAAUGUUUGGGUGAGGAAAAUAUAUCUGAUCUGAUUUGAAUACAGGUUUUGUGCUAUUCCUGCCUGAAAUAUUGCCCCCAUUUUCUUAUACCUGUCACCGCUGGUUUUGAGGCUUUCAUAUGCAGCUACCAGAUCAAGUUAUUACCAUACUAAAUGAUGGUGAUGAGAUCCAUGACAUAGAAAUCAAGUUAUCUUAAACGGAUAGCACUGAAUGAUCAAUUUCAAGGUAUGUUAGAACUUGGACCUAAAGUCUAUUUUGCAACUGUUCUUUGCUUCAGAAAGAUGGCUGCUAUGCAUGUUUCAGGAGAUUAAGGAUCUAUGGAAAUUGUAUACCCCUGAGAUUCACAGUUUAGUAAGAUGUAUUUAUACAAAUAAUUCUACCUUUUGGAUAAGGAUGUUCUAUGGUUGUUUUAGUGAACAAAGAUCCAGAACCUUAAAAAAAAACUUUGAAGCUAGCUCAUUCUUUUCCAUAUCAUGAAGUUAAUCUACCUUCAUAGUUAACAGAUUUUGGUUACCCAUCAUCUACCUGCUUGUCAGAAAAUCCUAAACUAAGUUUCAGCCAUCUCUAUGAAGAAUCAUUUCAUGAAAGAAAAAACAUUUUCUCUCAAAGAUGUGACCGUUUUUGGCAGGUGUUGCAACUAAUUACCAGAAAUAAUGAGGUACUGUCAAGGGUGAAUAUGAUAUAAUAGAAUGGCAUGAAUUAACUGAUAAAAGAUCAGGGCCAUGAUGACAAAAGAUGGCUGGUUCCAGAAACUUUUUGUUUGUAAACCAAAAAGGGAUGUUUAUGUCUUCCCAAUAUGAUUGGAUAAUUGUUGUUUCUGAGGGGAGAAGAAAUGGCUCAAGGGCUGGUUCAGGUACUGCAGAUUGGUAUUCAGGUACUGCACAAUGAAAAGGGGACUAGGAGGUGUGUUCUGUCGUUGACUGGGCAAAGUCAUUUUGUGUAGAUUACACUUAUAGGAGAGUUUAAGAAAUGAAAUAUUUGUCAUAGAAUUUUUUUUGUUAAUGUGUCUGCAAAGGGGAAGUGAAAGAACUGUUUUAAAUUUGUAGGAUUUCAAUCUCAAACCUUAUUCAUUUUAUUGACUAAUUAUCAUAUAUAGUAAACUUGAAACAGUACAUUAUUUCGAAUCUGAGAAAGAUCUCGUGCUUCUUGAGCAUGAUGUCAUUUUUGAAUUAUUGAUGUGAUUACUGAGUGUUAAA